rnacentral:rRNA from 1 species
UGAGUGACACGUAUCCAACCUGCCGUCUACUCUUGGACAGCCUUCUGAAAGGAAGAUUAAUACAAGAUGGCAUCAUGAGUCCGCAUGUUCACAUGAUUAAAGGUAUUCCGGUAGACGAUGGGGAUGCGUUCCAUUAGAUAGUAGGCGGGGUAACGGCCCACCUAGUCUUCGAUGGAUAGGGGUUCUGAGAGGAAGGUCCCCCACAUUGGAACUGAGACACGGUCCAA